CAAGUCGAGCGGACAGAAGGGAGCUUGCUCCCGGAUGUUAGCGGCGGACGGGUGAGUAACACGUGGGUAACCUGCCUGUAAGACUGGGAUAACUCCGGGAAACCGGAGCUAAUACCGGAUAGUUCCUUGAACCGCAUGGUUCAAGGAUGAAAGACGGUUUCGGCUGUCACUUACAGAUGGACCCGCGGCGCAUUAGCUAGUUGGUGAGGUAACGGCUCACCAAGGCGACGAUGCGUAGCCGACCUGAGAGGGUGAUCGGCCACACUGGGACUGAGACACGGCCCAGACUCCUACGGGAGGCAGCAGUAGGGAAUCUUCCGCAAUGGACGAAAGUCUGACGGAGCAACGCCGCGUGAGUGAUGAAGGUUUUCGGAUCGUAAAGCUCUGUUGUUAGGGAAGAACAAGUGCAAGAGUAACUGCUUGCACCUUGACGGUACCUAACCAGAAAGCCACGGCUAACUACGUGCCAGCAGCCGCGGUAAUACGUAGGUGGCAAGCGUUGUCCGGAAUUAUUGGGCGUAAAGGGCUCGCAGGCGGUUUCUUAAGUCUGAUGUGAAAGCCCCCGGCUCAACCGGGGAGGGUCAUUGGAAACUGGGAAACUUGAGUGCAGAAGAGGAGAGUGGAAUUCCACGUGUAGCGGUGAAAUGCGUAGAGAUGUGGAGGAACACCAGUGGCGAAGGCGACUCUCUGGUCUGUAACUGACGCUGAGGAGCGAA
rnacentral:rRNA from 1 species